CUUUGCCUUCUCAUUUGUGAAACCACAGUCAUGACACGACUCCCCAUCUUGCAAGUUUACCGAAACUAGUAACAUUCUUUAAAUAGAGAGGACAUGACGAAGAUUAAUUGAUUUGAACAGAGCCAUUAAGCUUGAACACAUUGAGUUUAUGGAUUUGAAAACCAAAAGAAAAAACUAAAGCACAAAAUUAAACAUAAAGGCAUAGAUAUUUAAUAUUUUUACAUAAAUCUAUAGGUGAUUUAGUAAAAGACAAAAGAUUAUUCUAAUUGACAUUCAAACCACAUCAGUUUGUAUACAUGCAAUGUCAUAUUCCAAUAAACCUUAAUCAUACACCUCUAGGUGAAAACUAGAAAAACAAUUAUUUAUUUAUUUAUUUAUUUAUUUAUUUAUUUAUUUAUUCCAUCAAUGGGAAGAAAGUUUUUCCAGUAAAUUACUAUCUGGCAAUUAAUACC
rnacentral:lncRNA from 1 species